AACCUUAUAUUCUAACAAAAUGAUUUUAAAUUGCAAAUUUAAAGAUGAAUUUUUCUGGGGUUU
rnacentral:tRNA from 1 species